rnacentral:rRNA from 1 species
UUCGACAAAUUGAAGCUAAUACAUGCAAACAUGUCCUUUUCGAAAGGCGCAAUAUUAGAACUACUGGCUUGCCGGCGGUUGAUUUCAAUUAUCGUUUCGAUAUCGGAAGGCGACUUCCGAUGGCCGUAAACUGUGUACGCCCUAUCACCCAGCAGGUUAAUCAUUCCCUAACCAGGGGUAUUACGGGUAACGGAGAACUAGGGUUCGUCUCCGGAGAAGAAGCCUUUGAAAGGCUACUACAUCCAAGGAAGGCAGCAAGCGCGUAACUUAUCCACUACCACAGUGAGAUAGUAACUAGUCUUAACUAUUGACUGAUCUUUUAGGUUAGUCAUGGUCCAUGAGUUGAGCCUAAAUAGCUCUUCCAGGACCAAGUGGAGGGCAAGUCUGGUGCCAG